GCCGGGGAGCCCCCCCACUCGCCCCAGCAGGGUCUACGGAGGCCGGGGCAGGCGGCUGAGGUGGCCGAGGCAUUGAACAAAUUUGAACAUCGGCCUUAAGCAAGGGAUCUACAGCAGUGAACAAAGUGGUCCAGAGGCCUGCCCUCACAGAGUCCUCAUGACAGCAGGGAGGCCAGACAACAGUCUGACUCCUCUCUGCUACUUGAAUGAGUGACCUCCAAGAAAUACUGAUUAGCGCCCAAUCUCAGAGUAAAUAUUUUAUGUCAACUUGUAAUACAGGGCAGCAUAGAUUAAGUUUUAAUGAUUACUGUUCAGAGACCAGUUGCAAUGUCAUUGUCAAACAGAAGUGCUAUCAAUAAAUAUUUGUC